rnacentral:ncRNA from 1 species
AACCCGCAAGGGAGGGAGCCGUCCAAGGUGAGGUCGGCGACUGGGACGAAGUCGUAACAAGGUAGCCGUACGGGAACGUGCGGCUGGAUCACCUCCUUU